rfam:Oryza sativa Japonica Group DNA, chromosome 1, cultivar: Nipponbare, complete sequence.
AAAAAGAUAAAUCCUGGUUUCCGUGCCCAACGUUUGACCGUCCGUCUUAUUUAAAAAAAAUUGAAAAAAAUUAAAAAGACAAGUCACGCAUAAAAUAUUAAUCAUGUUUUAUCAUCUAACAACAAUGAAAAUAUGAAUUAUAAAAAAAUUUCACAUAAAACGGACAGUUAAAAUUGGACACGGAAACCCAGGGUUUGCCUUUUU